GACGAACGCUGGCGGCGUGCUUAACACAUGCAAGUCGAACGGAAAGGCCCUGCUUUUGUGGGGUGCUCGAGUGGCGAACGGGUGAGUAACACGUGAGUAACCUGCCCUUGACUUUGGGAUAACUUCAGGAAACUGGGGCUAAUACCGGAUAGGAUCUCCUGCUGCAUGGUGGGGGUUGGAAAGUUUCGGCGGUUGGGGAUGGACUCGCGGCUUAUCAGCUUGUUGGUGGGGUAGUGGCUUACCAAGGCUUUGACGGGUAGCCGGCCUGAGAGGGUGACCGGCCACACUGGGACUGAGAUACGGCCCAGACUCCUACGGGAGGCAGCAGUGGGGAAUAUUGCACAAUGGGCGGAAGCCUGAUGCAGCAACGCCGCGUGCGGGAUGACGGCCUUCGGGUUGUAACCCGCUUUCGCCUGUGACGAAGCGUGAGUGACGGUAAUGGGUAAAGAAGCACCGGCUAAAUACGUG
rnacentral:rRNA from 1 species